rnacentral:rRNA from 1 species
UACGUAGGGUGCAAGCGUUAUCCGGAAUUAUUGGGCGUAAAGAGCUCGUAGGCGGUUUGUCGCGUCUGCUGUGAAAACUGGGGGCUCAACCCCCAGCCUGCAGUGGGUACGGGCAGACUAGGGUGCGGUAGGGGAGAUUGGAAUUCCUGGUGUAGCGGUGGAAUGCGCAGAUAUCAGGAGGAACACCGAUGGCGAAGGCAGAUCUCUGGGCCGUAACUGACGCUGAGGAGCGGAAGCAUGGGGAGCGAACAGG